rnacentral:rRNA from 1 species
CCUACGGGUGGCAGCAGUGGGGAAUAUUGCACAAUGGGGGAAACCCUGAUGCAGCGACGCCGCGUGAGUGAAGAAGUAAUUCGUUACGUAAAGCUCUAUCAGCAGGGAAGAAACACUGACCUUACGGUCAGCAGACGGUACCUGAGUAAGAAGCACCGGCUAACUACGUGCCAGCAGCCGCGGUAAUACGGAGGGGGCAAGCGUUAUCCGGAUUUACUGGGUGUAACGGGAGCGUAGACGGUGCGCCAAGUCUGGAGGGAAAUGCCGCGGCUUAACUGCGGAACUGCUUUGGAAACUGGCGAACUAGAGUGCGGGAGGGGUAAGCGGAAUGCCUAGUGUAGCGGUGAAAUGCGUAGAGAUUAGGAGGAACACCGGUGGCGAAGGCGGCUUACUGGACCGUAACUGACGUUGAGGCUCGAAAGCGUGGGGAGCAAACAGGAUUAGAUACCCCUGUAGUC